rnacentral:lncRNA from 1 species
UAUAUAAUUCUAAUAUCAUUUACCUAGACUCUAAAUUUAUUUACACAUUUGAGAGUUUUUUUUAAGAAAUUCUGCUUCCAAAACAAGAUAUUAAUGAAGAGUUUGCAAUUCACUGUCUUAUAUGUAAUAUAAAACAACAAAGCUGUUAAUAAUUUUCUACAUAUACAUAUCACCCUAUAUCACGAAUUUUACAUCAAAUUAUUGUACCGCAAAUAUUAUGCAUAUGUUAUAUUAUCUUAAGAGAACUAUUAUAUACUUAGCUAUUUAUCUGCUUGGUACAGGAACAUUUAUAAUAAUUUGUAGAAAUUAGCCCCAAAUUUAAUCUCAUAAUAUAUAUUAUUGGAGUCGUAUUACUGGUUGCCUAACUUUAGAUUAAAUCAACCAUUAUGAAAUAUUCUUAUAUGCCCAAUGCCAUAAAACAUAUAUAUUUGCAUAAAACAAUCCUCAGUUUAUGCCUUAUGCGCCCCUGAAUCACCCUGAAUCCAACGACAUCUCGAAAAAUGAGUAGAAUUAAAAAACUACUGCCCUAGUUGUUGUAAAGUCGAACUUGAUAUUUUCGCAUUCCCUUUUAUAGUAACCCAUUUCAUUCAAAUUUGCCGGUAUAAGUAUAAGCCCCGCCCUAAUACAAAAUGGCCACAGUUUUCAAGCUGUCAAUAAAUUAAUUUCUUAUUGGUCCAUGUGGGCCUUUGACAAUUUGUUUUUGUUUUGACUUUUGACAUCUUCGUAAUGGAAAGGUUGUCGCCGCGCCGGCAGAAUUUUUGUUUUUGUAUUGAUUAUUAAUAGAAAAAGUUUGCUUUCCUCACGCAGUUUGAACAGUUUUCAUUUUAAAGCUUGCUCAGUCUCUCCAAACACUUUGGUUUCAGUCACAAUUUAACUCUAUAUCAUACGUCGACGCCCUAUGGCAGAGACAUAUCAGCAUCAACAUAACUGGCCUUACGUUUACAGGAACGAAGAAAUACUGACUAAAGAACAUGAAAGAUGCUCAGUGUCGAAAGAAAUGAAGAAAGUGUACGGUUUAGCGUUUCAUGUCAUAUUUCCAAAGUUGUAUUUACAUUGUAAACGCCUAUUAAUUUUAAAAAUAUGUACUCAAAAAAUGGAAGCUUAUGGUACAGGGAAAUGGAAGAAUAAGAAGAAUUAGAGGGUGUAGAAUAAGCUAGAGAAUACCACUGCCAAGUCUGAGUAAGACAUGAAACAAUCUGGAUAUUGGAAUGUUCUGUUACAAAUAAUGCUUGGUUUAAUACUACACAUCAGGACACUGUCGCCCAGUGGCCGAAUUAUUAAUUAACUCGAUGACAUCAUUAACUGUCAUCGAUUUACAUAAGUAAAUUUUGCUGAUGGUGCCCCUAUGAAUUGGAUCAAACAGUGACGCUCCAGGACACGACGCGGCCUCCUUUCGAAGAGGAGAUCUGGAUCAUCUCAAACUUGAUGGUCUGCGUAGCAUGCAUAGGUAUCCAUGGGAGUCACCGGCCUCUGGUUUACGAGCUAGGUGUUUUAAUGCUAGAGGCUUCAGCCGGAUACUACCUAGCACCCAAGCUAAGACACUUCUUCAUGCACGUGUUGCGUGGCACCUCGAGGGCGUAGGGGACUUGAUACCAACAUAUUUGAAGAUGAGGAGAGGGGUGAGGCCUGUAAUGAGUCCCAGUGGUAGGUCGUUCGAUGGGAAAGGAGACGAUCUCAGAUAAAGCUGUUUAAUUGGAAUCGAGAGUGACCGGUGAGGCAUUAUAAUCGAAAAGUGUCAAAUCUGCAGAAGGGGACACCCACACCUCGGACGCGACGUGAAGGAUAUUUUGUUCUGCAUCUGCUUGACGUCGAUUUAUGGAUAGAGAUUCGGGAUAGACAGGCUAGCAAACCUCAGCUUAACCUAAAACCAACUAAAAAUAAUUCAAGUUUGUUGCGUGUUUAAAUCAUUGAAGAUUCCAGAUGAAAUAUUGCAAGACGUGUGUGAUUGAUUCUAAAGUUUCUUCGGAUUCCCCCAGGCAUCGUCUCGAAUACCGGGUGACGUGUUACCAACUCUAGGGAAUCAUCUCAGGACCAGGGAGCUGGGUUACUCGCCAUGCCCAAGUGCAGCUUGACUUGAUGUAUUGGUAAAUAAGAUGAUGGAGCAGGAAGAUAAUAAUACAAUAGAAGAGGACUUGGAUAAUAAGAAGAAUAGAAGAGGAAAUAGGAAAUUGAGAUGAUGGGAGAGAUCAAUGAAAAUGUCUUUAAAACAAUGGAGGGAAAAUUAUAAGUAGAAUUGCUGGUGAAUAUUGACAAGUCUGAUAGGGAGGUUUAGCUUUUUGAGAGGACAUGCAGACAAUCUUACGAGUGGUCAGUGCAUUGCUCAUGCUGAGGAAGUACUUGUUUUUAGCUAAAUAUUUCUUCUAUAAAUGAAACACUGCAAUAUGGUCUGUCCUCUGGUCUGUCCUCUCAUACCUUACAAAGUCACAACUGUAAAAAUAGAUUGUUCUAGCUCAUGAAACAAUCUGAAAGUGGCAACGUUCUCUUACAAAUGGAAUAUUACAAUACAAUAUAACACUCGGCUAACCUCCUAUAUGUUGAUGGAACAGCAGCUAGCAGCGUAUUUUAUAAUUAAGGCUGAUUUACACGUAUCCACGGCGUACGCCGGUUUCACUUUGACGCUUGCACUGGCAUGGUAGUGACCACGCCAGUAAUUAGUAUUAACUUUAUUUUUUUAUAUGUAUAUUCAUUUUAUUUUUUUUUAAAUUAUUAAAUUCAGCUAGAGUGCUUAGUAAGUAAUAUCUAUGCUAAUAUACUUUAUUACUACAAAAAAAACUACUUUUAUUCUUGUAUUAUUGCAACUUGAAAUUUUAAAUUUUCGUGUUUAUUUGUAUUAGUUAAUUUUUUUAGCUCAGCACAGUUAUAUAAUUAACAACUGAUAAUUAAAGUAAUUAAAUGCAGUAAUACAUAAAUAGAAUUAGUUUUAUGAAUGUUAUAUGAAUAUGUUACUUGAAUGGUACACAUAAGCUGAUUAUAUUUUAUUUCAAAGUAUCACUUUAUAAGGAUAAUUGUUCUCCAUAUGCUGGCAUUUCAUAAAAUUUUUAUAUUCUACUCUUAAAAAUUUUACUCAUCGUUCUUGUUUAGUUUAAUCAUAGAUUGUCAUCAUUUGAAGACUUGAAGUAAAUAAUGUUCUAAGUGCCAAAAAAUCAGUUUGUCAUGAUAAGUGCCACAACCAUAUACAUAUAUAUAUAUAUAUAUAUAUAUAUAUAUAUAUAUAUAUAUAUAUAUAUAUAUAUAUAUAUAUAUAUAUAUAUAUAUAUAUAUAUAUAUAUAUAAAGCGCUAAGUAUUGAGGCUAAGAGGCUAUCAAAUUGUAUUGAAAAAAAUUCCCGACAAAGAAACCGCCCGUUCUUAUGGGUUAUAUAACAAAAAAUGUUCGAAAUAAUGAUUUUGGCACUUAAAACAUCAUUUACUUCAUUUCAUGUAUUCCUAAAUGAGUUUAGUUACUUUUAAAAAUCUUUUUAUAUAAUUAUUAUCUAUACAUCAGUGGCAACGAGUAACAGCUCUAAGCAAGUUUUUAUUAUCCAUAUUCAUACAUUGCUGAAAAAUUUAAUUAAGAAAAGUAAUGCUACAAGUUAAUCCUAAGCUAAAAGCCUAGGAUUAAUUUGUAGCAUAGAAUAGUUAUUUUAAUUAAAUUUCUUAAUGAUGCUAAUAUAAUUUAUAUAUAAUAUACUACAAAUAAUGAUAUCUUCUGUUUCUAAGUUACUGUAAUUUUUAACAGCUGAUAUUUUUAGACUAAUAUUUUACAUUUAAUCUAUUAAUUAUAAAGUGAUUAAUAUAAAUAGAAAUAGUAUUUUGAAGCAUAUUAUAUAAAUGGAACCGACAAAUAUAGUUCAAUAUAUUAUAUAUUUAUGUU